UCCCUGGUGGCUCAGACAGUAAAGCAUCUACCUGCAAUGUGGGAGACCCUGGUUCGAUCCCUGGGUUGGGAA
rnacentral:tRNA from 1 species